CAGCAGGAAAAAUAAAGUAACCUCUAGUACAGUUCCAAAGAUCUCUGGGUUCUGACUCUAGAAAGAAAGAAUUUUCAUCGCAUUUCUUAACGCAUUAUUCAUUAUCAGAACACGACAGUCUUCGCGUUGCGAAACUGUCUUGUCGGCCAAAAAGGGUGGUGACAUGAUUGAGAACCCCCAAAACCCAAUGCAUGGAAUGGAUGGACCUCUUGUGUGGUUCCUCAAAGCCGUACUUGGCUCGGGUCCGUCGAUCGAGAUGUUCAGUGAAAUGGGAAAAAAAUCUCU